rnacentral:rRNA from 1 species
UGAGGAAUUAUGCGCAAUGGACGAAAGUCUGACGCUGCGACGUCGCGUGGGUGAUGAAGGUCUUCGGAUCGUAAAACCCUGUCGAGAGGGAAGAAAGAGCGGGCGCUAAUAUCGCCUACUUCUGACGGUACCUCUGGAGGAAGCACCGGCUAACUCUGUGCCAGCAGCCGCGGUAAUACAGAGGGUGCGAGCGUUAAUCGGAAUUACUGGGCGUAAAGCGCACGUAGGUGGCGACGUAAGUCGGGUGUGAAAGCCCCGGGCUCAACCUGGAAAUUGCAUUCGAGACUGCAUUGCUGGAGUACGGAAGAGGAGGGCGGAAUUCCCGGUGUAGCGGUGAAAUGCGUAGAUAUCGGGAGGAACAUCAGUGGCGAAGGCGGCCCUCUGGUCCAGUACUGACACUCAAGUGCGAAAGCGUGGGGAGCAAACAGGAUUAGAUACCCUCGUAGUCCCUGAGCGGGCUGGCAAGGCGCAU